UUAAAACACUGAUUCCCAUAUGAUCACUGAAGUUAAGCAAUGUUGAGCUUGGUCAAUAGCUAGAUGGGUGACCGCUUGGGAAUACCAGUUGCUGU